UCUGGGAUAAGCCCUGGGAAACUGGGUCUAAUACCGGAUAUGACUGCGGAACGCAUGUUUUGUGGUGGAAAGAUUUAUCGGUUGGGGAUGGACUCGCGGCCUAUCAGCUUGUUGGUGAGGUAAUGGCUCACCAAGGGGACGACGGGUAGCCGGCCUGAGAGGGUGACCGGCCACACUGGGACUGAGACACGGCCCAGACUCCUACGGGAGGCAGCAGUGGGGAAUAUUGCACAAUGGGCGAAAGCCUGAUGCAGCGACGCCGCGUGAGGGAUGACGGCCUUCGGGUUGUAAACCUAAUUCAGUAGGGAAGA
rnacentral:rRNA from 1 species